rfam:Physcomitrella patens subsp. patens PHYPAscaffold_77 genomic scaffold, whole genome shotgun sequence.
GCUUUGUUAGCUCAGUUGGUUAGAGCGUCGUGCUAAUAACGCGAAGGUCACAGGUUCGAAACCUGUACAGAGCA